CAGUCGCCGCGGUAAUACGUAGGUGGCAAGCGUUGUCCGGAAUUAGUGGGCGUAAAGCGCGCGCAGGCGGAUCAGUUAGUCUGUCUUAAAAGUUCGGGGCUUAACCCCGUGAGGGGAUGGAAACUGCUGAUCUAGAGUAUCGGAGAGGAAAGUGGAAUUCCUAGUGUAGCGGUGAAAUGCGUAGAUAUUAGGAAGAACACCAGUGGCGAAGGCGACUUUCUGGACGAAAACUGACGCUGAGGCGCGAAAGCCAGGGGAGCGAACGGGAUUAGAUACCCCGGUAGUCCCUGUCUCUUAUACA
rnacentral:rRNA from 1 species